rnacentral:rRNA from 1 species
AUCUAUGGCCAUACCACCCUGAACGUGCCCGAUCUCAUCGGAUCUUGGAAGCUAAGCAGGGCCAGACCUGGUUAGUACUUGGGUGGGAGACUGCCUGGGAAUACCAGGUGCUAUAGGUU